AACAUCAUAAUUAUAUCGCGAAUGUACUACUAGUAUAUGCAGUUUUCUUAAAAUUGCAGGGAAUGACUAAAAGCCCACGUUUUUCCCACUUUUAAUAGUACUGAAGCGUAGAUAGAUUGAACGUUGCUGGGCGCCUGAUGUUGAUCAUUUCUGAAAUGAGAUAUUGGGAAUCAGCUGUAUCUACAUUU
rnacentral:snoRNA from 2 species